AAAAAAGGAAGUAAAUAAACAAAGGAAAACUUCCACCCGGCCGCGUCGAAGACACUCUCCCCGCAGCCACAUCUGCUCUGCCCCCUCCCACGACCUAGGGUUAGCCGUCGCCGCCGAUGACUCUAUCGGUGAGCUCCGGCAGCCAUGGCCUGCGCACGGGACGUUGCCGAGCUCACGUAGACAUGCUGCGUUGAUCCCUCCGCCCAGAUCCGUCCAUCCCUGCCUACAAUGCUCGUGCCCAAUCCACUCCCCGCGGUUAGGGUUUGGGGUGCGACCUCGUCUCCGCCACCUGCGUGCCUCUGGCGAGCUCCGUUGGCCAUGGCCGACGCGCAGGACGCUGCCGAGGUCACCUCGUCGUGCUGUGUUGAUCCAUCCGAGCAGAUCCAUCCCUCCACGCCUCCAACGCUCAUGCCCAAUCCAUCCGCAGUUAGGGUUUGGGGCACGGCCUCGUCUCCGCCACCGGCGGUCUUCUACGUCGCUUGAUUUGGGAAGAAAAUUUCAUUUUUCCAUUGUACAAUUUCUGAACUGAAUGGUUUGUUUUUAGGGGCAUCAGUUUGGUCUAUUCCGUGACCAGACAAAAUGAGUAGAAGGGGAUGAGGAUGGAGUAGAAGGUGUAAAAGGACGAGAAAGACGAGAAACGGGCAAGGGAGGUGGGGCGAUCUGCAUGCCUAUGGAGAUCUAAAUGUUUCUUGUUUAAUCCUUUUUUAUGUUGCAUGCUCUCUGAUUUUAGAGUAGAUUGCUUUACAGCAUGUUGAAUAGAUUUGGGCAUGUUCAUUUUUCUAUGGUGACUUGGGUUUGACCAGAGAAAAGAGGAACGCUUUCUUAGAGAGCAAAUCUAUGGUGCAACCGUCGUCCAGGUCCAUCAAAUCAGCAGCAGCUUGGGUCUGAAGGUGCGCCUCAUGUUUAGCUAAAAAUAGUUAAGUGUGCAAUAUGCAUUAUUAGUGGAGGUAAAGCAUUUCCGACCAUGUGCAAUUACACAACUAUGAAUUCUCCUCUAGACACGUGAUUGAAAAUCUACCAUCAUAGUAUAUUGUUCCAUGUCAAUCAGUAUAUGUCACCGUCCACAUUAUUCACUUCAGUUCUGCAUGGUCAUGCACAAACAUACAUAAUAUAUUUGUGUAUAUGAACUGAACUUGUACUUAGGUACAAAUUCAGAAAUCAACACUUGUAGUAGCACCAGAUCUGAAGGCGCAGCUCAUGUUUUUUGCUUAAAUAGUCAAGUGUGUGAUAUGUUAUUAGGUAUGCACAAAACGUCUUUUAAUAGUGUAAAGAGGGUGUAUGUGUUAUAUUACCAAUAGGUCAAUGUUUUGCUCCCCCUCCCCUGCUUUGUUCGAUUUGGUAGCCCUGAUGCAUAAGCGAUCAUGGCUUGGUUCCCUCAUGCACUUUCUAAUGCGUGCAGGUGGCGGUGCAGGACACAGCCACCUUGUGAUUCUUCUUCCACUCCGAUGAAUCCAGUCGUUCUUCUUCCUCUCAGGCAUAUAUGGAGAGCAUAUCUACAGAAGAGAAAAAACUCGAUGGAAAUCAUGGUCAUUACAGGCCCAUAGAACUUGUUACGCUCCAGGGGCACCAAGAGUUGGUUGUGCAAAGCUUGUUUUUGGGUUUGUUCAUUUUUCUAAGAAAGCGUUCUUUUUUCUCUUUACAACAGAUAAAAAUUGGUGACUUGCUUUCUAAGGAAGCGUUCCUUUUACUAUUCAUUUCAUCACAGAUUUGGUAGCACUUUUAGGUUGGUGCCGUUGAACAAGCUAUUAAAUUUAUCCUAUACUGUAAGAAAAAAAAGUGAACUCUUUUUUAUACUGUUGUUUCUCAUGGUCCGCAAUGAAUGUUCGCGUUGAUUCUUUGCCAUGUUAUCUCAUGCGUAGGACUUGAGCAUCUGGAAGAGUGAACUUGUUUACAAACAUGAUAUGUAUUGCAUCAUCCCUUUGUGCAAUAUUUUACUAUUUCCUUGAUAUUCAAUGACACGGUUGUACCGAAGCCGUACAAAUCAAUGUGAAUGAGCUCUGUUAUAUAUUACCAGUCUGUACAUAUUUGAAUGUGCUUUUGAUGGGCGCACACAUGUGCUAAUUUUGUUUUUAAAUUGAUUACAUUACUUGUGUAUCUUCUCUUUAGUUGCAUCUCAUUUUUACAUUACAUUUAGUAGGAGGUGUUGCAUACUCUAUUUGGAGGAGUCUGAAGAAAAUGGUUCAUCUUGCUGCACAACCCAUCAGAUAAAGAAAAUGGUUCAUCUUGCUGCACAACCCAUCAGAUAAAAGUAUACAAGCAAUGAGCGUACCACUCAGAGACAUGAAGUAGGAGGACGAGCAGCUGCUGUAAAUCACUACAAGGAAUAUGCUAAUACACAACGUUAUAUUUUCGUCGCUACAUCGUCACGGUUUUUAGUUUACAACGAUCUUACGACGAAAAACCAAGCGUCGAAAACAGAGCGUCAGAAAUGAACAACAUCGACGUUUUGAUCGAAAUCGUCGUAACUUUUACGAUGAUUCCUGGAUCGUCGUAACCUUUACGACGAUCUUAAAUUAUCAUUGGCAAUCUAACCCAGUCCUACGUGGCAAAAUUACGAUGAAAUCAAAACGUCAAGGUUGAAAUCAGUCCAACCCAUUUCAAUUGAUCACAUGGGCUGAUUUUAUUUUCUUGAGCUUUUUUUUAUUGGGCUUCUUUUUGGCCCUUAACCUAUUUACAACCACUUUAAUAUAUAUUUUUUAAAUUCUUUUUGUAUCCUUAUAAUUUGGGUCCCGGCCUUUUAUUGCUCAAAUACAUUUGGUCCAGUUU